CUUGGUCAUUUAGAGGAAGUAAAAGUCGUAACAAGGUUUCCGUAGGUGAACCUGCGGAAGGAUCAUUAUCGUACAAUGGGGGUACCACGGCUGUCGCUGACUUUUUCGGUCGUGCACGCCAGAGUGCUCUCACAUUACAAAUAUCCAUCUCACCCCUUUGUGCAUCACCGCGUGGGUCCCCCUUCCUCCGAGGGGGGUCCUCACGUUUUUAACAUUGAACACCCAUUCGAACGUAUCGUAGAAUGUUCUUUGCGCGAUCACGCGCGAUCAAUACAACUUUCAACAACGGAUCUCUUGGCUCUCGCAUCGAUGAAGAACGCAGCGAAAUGCGAUAAGUAAUGUGAAUUGCAGAAUUCAGUGAAUCAUCGAAUCUUUGAACGCACCUUGCGCCCUCUGGUAUUCCGAGGGGCACACCCGUUUGAGUGUCGUGACAUUCUCAAACCUUCUCGGUUUCUUGACCAGGAAGGCUUUGGACUUUGGAGGCUUUUGCUGGGGUUCCUUUGUUGGAAGCCAGCUCCUCUGAAAUGAAUUAGUGGGGGUCUGCAUUGCCGAUCCUUGACGUGAUAAGAUUGUUUUCUACGUCUCGGGUUUUUGCACUCCUGCUUCUAACCGUCUUCACAGAAGACAAAUGGUCGAGUGAUUGCCACUUGACCCAUGAACCUUGACCUCAAAUCGGGUGAGACUACCCGCUGAACUUAAGCAUAUCAAUAAGCGGAGGA
rnacentral:rRNA from 1 species